rnacentral:rRNA from 1 species
UACGUAGGGUGCAAGCGUUAAUCGGAAUUACUGGGCGUAAAGCGUGCGCAGGCGGUUUUGUAAGUCUGUCGUGAAAUCCCCGGGCUUAACCUGGGAAUUGCGAUGGAGACUGCAAGGCUAGAAUCUGGCAGAGGGGGGUAGAAUUCCACGUGUAGCAGUGAAAUGCGUAGAGAUGUGGAGGAACACCGAUGGCGAAGGCAGCCCCCUGGGUCAAGAUUGACGCUCAUGCACGAAAGCGUGGGGAGCAGACAGG